GCUCAGGGAUCGGUUCAGUGGCGAUCACUCGAUAAUUUAAUUUCAGCGGACGAUAGGCGCAAGGCUUAUCCGAAAGGACAGCACGCUCGAAAUAUCGCACGUGAUACAAACUGAAAUAAUUCUUGAUUACAUUUGAUUUGAUAACAAGUUGGAAGAUUUAUCUGUGAGGGAGUUUACCGCUGUACAAUACGAAAAGAUAUUAACAUCCUCUGUAUACCUCGAUUGUGACAGGCAGAUAACGCGGUAGAUGACACGGCUCGCCCGCCGCCAUUGCCGCAGGGAUUUACAAAAGUGAAACUGAUUCUCGGCACCUCGCGCCCCUGAUAUAUAAUAGAAGCGCUUUCGUCCAGGACAAAUCGACGAAAUAUUUCCUGUCUAGAUGUAACCACAGAUAAACUUGUAAUACAACAACCAAACAAUGAGUUCUCGUCAUUACGUGUCUCGCAAGAUUGAGUAGUCACGUACUUUCCUUGGUGCGUGUCCACGUGGGAUUCCUCGUUUCCUGUGUCACGCAGAUCAUAAAAUCGGCUUGUUUAUUAGGCAAGAUUAUCGGGAACGAAAACGGAAGAAAGGUGAACGCUAUGGAUUGCCGAUUUGGAAAAGCAUUGACACCUCGAAUGAUCACAGAAAGCCAGAGAGAUAUUCAUGCUGUUAGUAUCAGAGUUGGUUUUACAUAAAAUCUCGGAGACUCGCGGUCACGUAAAUUGCGUUGAUUUCACGACCAGCGUUCGGACAGUCAAUCACUACACGGAGUAUGGUUCCCAUUUCAUAUGUGAACAAUUUCACGCGAGUCCGAGAAUCAAAACCCCAUAUAAUGGCUGUGUUCCAAAAUUCAUUGCCAGCGCCGAAGAUCCACAGUGCACGUAACGUGUACUGUAGAUUUUUAGCGCUGGCAGUGAAUUUUGGGACACAAAAACUGCCAAUGUAGGCAGAUGCGCAGCGUCUUGCAAUGCCUUUGUUUACGGCAUGGGUAACUUUAAGAAAGGUAAAUUAAAAGUUCACAGUCUAUAAUGUAACUAAGUUAAGCUAAAAUUAUUUAACUAGGCACUAC